AAGAAAACAAGGGUGAUCUAAUAAUUUUUUCCGUGACUGUAAAGGGUUUAGUCCCGCUAGCCAUGAUGAAGAGCUGUAAUAUUCCCUUCUGAGCGUGAAGUGGAUAGAGAACAAUGAUUCCGUUCAUAUGUCCUCUAUCACUGAUGACCGUUUGGAAUUUCCCCUUGUGGGACAAAUAAAGGAAUAUCUUAUCUUAUCUUAUAGC
ensembl:snoRNA U3 Small nucleolar RNA U3